AACGAACGCUGGCGGCGUGCCUAACACAUGCAAGUCGUGCGAGAAAGUUCCUUCGGGAGCGAGUAAAGCGGCGCACGGGUGAGUAACACGUAGGUAACCUGCCCCCAAGUCUGGAACAACUGGAGGAAACUCCAGCUAAUGCCGGAUGAGACCACGAUCCCCUCGGGGGUUGUGGCCAAAGAUGGCCUCUGCUUGCAAGCUAUCGCUCGGGGAUGGGCCUGCGGGCCAUUAGCUAGUUGGUGAGGUAACGGCUCACCAAGGCAGUGAUGGCUAGCUGGUCUGAGAGGAUGACCAGCCACACUGGGACUGAGACACGGCCCAGACUCCUACGGGUGGCUG
rnacentral:rRNA from 1 species